rnacentral:rRNA from 1 species
GAUGAACGCUGGCGGCGUGCCUAAUACAUGCAAGUCGAGCGAACGGACGAGAAGCUUGCUUUUCUGAUGUUAGCGGCGGACGGGUGAGUAACACGUGGAUAACCUACCUAUAAGACUGGGAUGACUUCGGGAAACCGGAGCUAAUACCGGAUAAUAUUUUGAACCGCAUGGUUCAAAAGUGAAAGACGGUCUUGCUGUCACUUAUAGAUGGAUCCGCGCUGCAUUAGCUAGUUGGUAAGGUAACGGCUUACCAAGGCAACGAUGCAUAGCCGACCUGAGAGGGUGAUCGGCCACACUGGAACUGAGACACGGCCCAGACUCCUACGGGAGGCAGCAGUAGGGAAUCUUCCGCAAUGGGCGAAAGCCUGACGGAGCAACGCCGCGUGAGUGAUGAAGGUCUUCGGAUCGUAAAACUCUGUUAUUAGGGAAGAACAUAUGUGUAAGUAACUGUGCACAUCUUGACGGUACCUAAUCAGAAAGCCACGGCUAACUACGUG